UGACUAAAAGUUAAACGGCCGCGGUACCCUAACCGUGCAAAGGUAGCACAAUCACUUGUUCUCUAAAUCAGGACCAGUAUGAAUGGCCUCACGAGAGCUAUACUGUCUCCCCCCUCCAAUCAGUGAAACUGAUCUCCUCGUGAAGAAGCGAGGAUGCCCAUAUAAGACGAGAAGACCCCAUGGAGCUUAAAACUUAUGCCACCGCCUAUAACUAUACCAACAAAUAAGGCAAUAUGGUAACUAGUCUUUCGGUUGGGGCGACCACGGAGAAAAACUAAACCUCCACGAUGAAAGGAGUACCCUAAUUUAAGAGCCACUACUCUAAAAAAUCAAUAAAUUGACAUAAAUUGACCCAAACAUUUUUUGAUCAACGAACCAAGUUACCCUGGGGAUAACAGCGCAAUCCAUUUCAAGAGACCCCAUCGACAAAUGGGCUUACGACCUCGAUGUUGGAUCAGGGUAUCCUAGUGGUGCAGCCGCUACUAACGGUUCGUUUGUUCAACGAUUAAAACCCU
rnacentral:rRNA from 1 species